rnacentral:rRNA from 1 species
CUACGGGGGGCUGCAGUGAGGAAUAUUGGUCAAUGGCCGAGAGGCUGAACCAGCCAUCCCGCGUGCAGGAUGACGGCCCUAUGGGUUGUAAACUGCUUUUCUACGCCAAGAAAUCUGAUUACGUGUAAUUAGUUGACGGUAGCGUAGGAAUAAGCAUCGGCUAACUCCGUGCCAGCAGCCGCGGUAAUAGGGAGGAUGCAAGCGUUAUCCGGGUUCAUUGGGUUUAAAGGGUGCGCAGGCGGGCUUGUAAGUCAGUGGUGAAAUACUGCCGCUUAACGGUAGAACUGCCAUUGAUACUGCAAGUCUUGAAUAUGGUUGAGGUAGGCGGAAUGUGUUGUGUAGCGGUGAAAUGCAUAGAUAUGACACAGAACGCCGAUUGCGAAGGCAGCUUACUAAGCCAUUAUUGACGCUGAGGCACGAAAGCGUGGGGAGCGAACAGGAUUAGAUACCCGAGUAGUC